ensembl:lncRNA novel transcript
GUGUCACUUCCUGUUUCACAGGAAGUAGGACAGAGCAAUGGAGGGAAGCCAGAUUUAAUGUCAGAAGUCUGGACCAUCAAUUUUAUCCCUUCCCAUUGCCUCCUUUUAAAUUUUAGUCAAUUCAAUAAAUAUUUUCAACUCCUCGUCUGUACCAGGCACCAAGCCACAGAAUGGAGUUCUGGCAAUGAACACUGCAGACAUGGCCGCCUUUAGCCUCAUGGAGCUUAGGGUCUGGGAGCAUUGUCAGUUUCUGAAUCCUCCAAGUGCUAAACUAUCUUCUCUCUUCAAAUUAGAGAAAAGAAAUGAGACAGCAGGCCUGCUUCUUUGAGUGUUUUUUUCUUUUUUGUUUCCGUUUUCUGACAACCAUACUUCACGUCUGACAGAGGAAAUGAUUCUUUUUGUCAGUGAUAAAUUUAUGAGUUUUGACUGUUUGUGAAGUUCCCUAAUUAAUUCUUUAUAGACUUCUAUUGGCAACUGAAUUUGUGUUUUGAGUUAAAAAUGGGAGUUCAGAUGAAUUACAGUUGAACAUUCUGCUCCCUUUGAAGAGCUCAUACUCCACAUUCUACGCUGUUAAUCUCUCUGCUUACUGAGAGGCACCGUUUGUCUUGCAGUGACGCACGGUGGGUGGUUACCAUGGCAUAGGAAAACAUUGCCAGCGCUGGCCCUGUCGUCAUGGAACCCCUGGGCCAUCUCCUGAGAAACUUGACUCUCCAAGAUAUGCAGAGCUUUGGGCCAGGAUCCUACAGCCACGGGUCAUGCAGAGCCAGUUGGCCACAUCCUUUGGGCCAAAUUUGGUCCUAACCAGGUCUUACCACGGUAACUGCUAACCAGUCCAUCUUCAGUUAAUAUUUCAUGCAAAACAAUGGGCAAGUCAGCUCAUGAAGAACUUUUCAGAUAUUCAGACUAUUAUUCUGAGAGAGAAAAUAUUGGCAGAGAACAGAUGGGAUUUUUCUCAAGGAAAAGAAAUGGAAAUCCUACAUCUUGCAAGAAAUAGAAAAAAAUAAAUAAACUGUUUGAAGAAGAAUCACAUCAGGCUGGCAGGAGAGAGCCUGCGGCUCGGUGUCUGACCCAGAAUGUUAAAGCCAGCCUGGCUUGGCUCCAGGAUAAAGGACACUCUGUCAGCCUCUCCACAUUGAUUCAUCUCCCCAGCCCCAAGAUCAGGAGAGCAUUCUGUUCCUUGAAGCAUUUUAUGACUGUAAGUCAGAAGUGCUGCAGUUUUAAUAAAAAGCUGUAUUGUCCUG